rnacentral:rRNA from 1 species
AUUGAACGCUGGCGGCAUGCCUUACACAUGCAAGUCGAACGGCAGCACAGUGGAGCUUGCUCCAUGGGUGGCGAGUGGCGGACGGGUGAGGAAUACAUGGGAAUCUGCCCAGUCGUGGGGGAUAACGUAGGGAAACUUACGCUAAUACCGCAUGCGCCCUUCGGGGGAAAGCCGGGGACCGUAAGGCCUGGCGCGAUUGGAUGAGCCCAUGUCGGAUUAGCUAGUUGGCGGGGUAACGGCCCACCAAGGCGACGAUCCGUAGCUGGUCUGAGAGGAUGAUCAGCCACACUGGAACUGAGACACGGUCCAGACUCCUACGGGAGGCAGCAGUAGGGAAUAUUGGACAAUGGGGGCAACCCUGAUCCAGCCAUGCCGCGUGAGUGAAGAAGGCCCUCGGGUUGUAAAGCUCUUUUGUCCGGAAAGAAAAGCAAUCGGUUAAUACCCGGUUGUUCUGACGGUACCGGAAGAAUAAGCACCGGCUAACUUCGUGCCAGCAGCC